AUACACUCUGAACUGGUUCCUCAUGUAGAAUCCUGUUUUCUUGCCAUUUAAAUUUUUAAUAGGUGGUGUUUUACUUUCUCUUUAUUGGAAUAAAUUUGGAUGAUUUCUAAUAUUAUUAUCCACUUUGGUUGCUUGUGACCUAGUGUGUGUGUGUGUGUAAUAGAGUCCAUAAACACCUGGUUCUCCUUCUGUCUAUCAUGUUGCAGAAGCAUGUUGGGUAAGAGGCUGAUGUAUUUUAGAUAGUGCAAUAUGAUUAUCAUACACUUGACAAAUGUUAGACAUGCUCGUGUGUGUGUGUGUGCAUUUAUAUGUGUAUGUUUGUGGGUCUCUUGUGGGUUUGUGCCAGGUGGAUCUUGAUUUAUAUCAUAAGCAAGCAGUGUUUGCCUUUUCAGUUUUCUCAGUCCCACAGCUCACUGUCAUGGCAACUGUAUAAACAUUCUUAUAAACACAACUGUUUUUGCUUUUAUGUGAAGUUUUGUGUUGAAACAUUUUCCUUCUUUAAAAAUGUAAUGAUUAUGACUAAGUAGAAACCCCAGCCCUAUUGAUUCGCCUUUAAAAAUAAUGACAAAUAUAAUCACAGUUUACACUUGCAUGAGUAGUGUGUUAUUUUAUAUGCUCCUUGUGUUUUAAAUACUAUUUUAUGAUUAUUUAUUGUGUCUGUGGAUGCAUUUCUAUGUGCUGCCUGUGGAUAUGUGAAUUUCGCUCUUGAGGAUGAAUCGUCUGUAUGUCCGUCCCACUAGGAACUGCUGCCUCCUAUAAAUAAUAAAAAUCGGCCCCCCUGUGCCAGACCUCCCACCGCUGUUAAUCAAAUGCACCAGACAUUGAAACUCCCUACUGACGUGCCACAUUCAGCUGAUCCAGUAGCUGCUUUUUAGAGUGUAGUGCAACCUCCUUAAUUUAAUAAAUCUAUAAUAUUAACUACUACUUCCUUCUUCUUUAUUCAUUGUGCCCUCCCUUACUUUCUCUUUUGCGUCCUUCCUUGUUUGCUUUCUUUCUUUCCAAAAUUCAAUUUUAGAAGAGUAGUUUAUACUUGAAGAUGUCUUCAGGGUGUCAUGACAGUGAUUUGCAUGCUUUUUCUACACAAAUCAACCUACUUUUGUUUGUUUCAUUAAAAUAUCCGAUAUUUAUUUCAUUGUUUAAAUUUUUUAAUUGGGGCAGCACGGUGGCUCAGUUAAUGCAUUGUUGCCUUGCUGCAAGAAGAUUCUCGGUUUGACUCCUGGCUGGGGUCUUUCUGCACAGAGGUUGCAUGUUCUGCCAGUGCAUGCGUGGGUUCUCUCCGGGUACUUCCUCCUACAGUCCAAAAACCUGAGUGUUAGGUUAAUUGGUCUGUUUGAAUUGCCCUUAUGUGUGAAUGGGUGUGUGAAUAGUUGUUUGUCCUGUGUGUUGCCCUGCGAUGGACUGGCAACCAGUUCAGGGUGCACCCCGUCUCUCGCCCGUACACAGCUGGAGACAGGAGACAGCUCCCCCGCAACCCUUUAUGGAGGAAGCGGGUAUAGAAGAUGGACGGAUGGAUGGAGUUUUUAAUUGAAACAUAUUUCAAUUUUUGUGGUAAGUGAGUGGUUUGAUCUUGAAGAUAUGGGCCCACAUGGCUAAACGUUUAGAUACCACUGCUCGGAUAUGUGCAUAUGUAGCUUCUAGGUUCCAUAACACCAAAAUAGUAUUUAGUGCUGGUGAAAAUUCUCAGUCAUCUAGGAUAUGAUAAAUGCAAAAAAGGUUAGGGUUAGGGUCAUCUCACAAAUGGACAACAGUUCAUCAGCAUCAAAAACCACACCUCCACUGCUUUUCUGCCAUCUACCUGGUCCCCCUUGGUUACAUCAUACUCCACCAUAGUUUUAAUUUCCAUGGCUCACUCCACCCUGACCAACUGCAUCCCUGAGAUAAAAUCAUGGAUGCACUCAAACUUCCUCAAACUCAACUAUGAUAAAUCAGACAACCUCAUCUUUGGUCCCAAAUACUUUUCCAAAAACGCCCAUAACUUCAGUCUCACCAUUGACAACACAACUUUGUCUCCCUCCACUCAUAUCCGCAACCUUGGAGUUAUCUUGAACAGUAAACUCCCUUUCGAACACACGUCAGCCACAUUACAAGAACUGCCUUCUUCCAUCUCAAAAAUAUUGCUUGUCUCUGCCCGUCACUCCCUUUGUCUGCGGCUGAAAUUCUCAUCUAUGCCUUCAUCACAUCCAGACUUGAUUACUGUAACAGCUUUCUUUAUGGUUCAUUAUCCAAAGUCCUCAAUUAACUUUAGGACAUACAAAAUUCUGCUGCUCACCCCAGUUCUCCAGACUCCUGUCCCCCAACACAUUAAUUUCAAUGUUCUCCAUCCUACCCACAAAAACCUCCAUAAACAGGCCCCCUGCUAUCCCCCCAACCUGCUCCAUCAUCACACUUCUUCACACAGCCUCCGCUCCUCUGAUGCCAACCUGCUGUCUUUAACACUGAGAACCAAGCAUAGAAGCUGGGGUGAUACAGCCUUCUCCAUAGCUGCUCCCACCCUCUGGAACCCUCCCCCAAAUACAUUUGUGACUGUACAGACCUAUCAACAGUCAAAUCACAUUUCAAAACUCACCUUUUUACAACUGCUUCUCAUUCUUAUGCUUUUGCUUAUCUUUUGCUAAUCCUGACUUUUUUUAUUGUCCAAUGUUAUGUAUUUAAGCGCUCUGAUUUUCUUAUUACUUUGUUUUAUUCCUGUAAAGUGUCUUUGAGUGUAUUGAAAAGCAUUAUACAAAUGUAAUGUUUUAUUAUGAUUGUUAUUAUUAUUAUUAUUAUUAAUGACGCCCUUUUGUUAGGGGAGUCUAAUCUGCGUGUUAAUUUAGAUGUGCAGAACGACACAUCCCAAACAGCUUAAAAGCUUUGAACUUCUCCCUCACCAGCUUUGAACUGAGAAAGCACUUUGGAUGAAGAGCAAAACUUCUUCAGCUCCAAGAACGGAAGUCCAGUUGUUUUGUUUUUUAACCUUUUUUUUAAAAAAGUUCAGUGUUUAUAUCUCUGGUGGGUUUAUUAAGAGUAAACAGAAUCUGCUUUUAACUUAGUGUUCAUUUGCCUUAGAUUAGAUUAGAUUUUUUUCUUUAUAUGAAAAUAGUUUUAACCUUGAAAACUAACAGCUUCCUAAUGUAAAACUGAAACUAUCAGCCACAGGAAAGAAGGGGUUAUAGAGGCCAACUAGAACAACUAAAAGAAUGUAACCACAUCUCCAUAAUUUGAAGGAGAGGGAGGAAAAUGUUAGCUUCAUCCCGGAAACAGCAGUGAAAACAUUUUCCAAUAAUUUUCAGCCUGCUUAGGGUUUUAAUAACACCAGAUGCUUCCUGGUGCAUCACACUGAGAAACAUUUGUGAUAUGGAUUUUCAACUGAAUUUAUGAACAGCCUUUGGGCCUACAUUUAUAAACAUUGUCAGGUGAUUUAAUAUCUCCAGCUGGUGUUUGCAGAUCCAGCUGGAAAAGGUGUGUAUCUGCAGCAUCAUAAGCAACGGCAUCGAAACCCUCAACUUUUGUUACAAAAAGCCUUUAGAAACGUAUAGCUGUUGAUACACAGACAUCAAUUUGCUCAGAGCAAACGGUGUAGAUAAAUAAAAUGCACUGGAGGGAGGGAGUUUUAGACGUGCAUUGGAGGGUGUUUAAAAGGACCUUAUGGCUUUGUGAUGGAACUCUAUUUUUAAACUUGUUCACAGCUGGUUUUAUACAGAACCAACACAGAGCUGAAACAACUCUGGUCUACAUAGGGUACCAGGAAUGAGGCAGAUCCUUUGGGGUCAGGUUAGGUUUUAGGGACUGAAGGCAGAUGUUGAAUCAAACUUAAAACAAGAAUACCAGGCCUCAAGGUAUAAUGAAAUAGAUUUGUUUUGUUAUGGCCUAAGAUUGUCACAUUUGGUGAGCUUUGUAUAGGAGGUCUAUAACUAUUUACAGUGCUUUGCAAAAGUUCACACCUCUAGAACUUUUUUGAACUACAAACCUCAAUAUAUCUUAUUGGGAUUAUAUGUGAUUGAUAAACACAAAUUAGUGAUUUAUUUCAAAAAGAGAGGCAAAAGGAGACAUGGUAUUCCUUUUUGUUAUUGUUUUUUUUUUUUACAAAGAAUAUUCGAAAAGUGUGUUUUGACCUCUUUACUUGUAUGUCCUUAAAAAAAUCCAGUGCAGCCCAAUACUUGGAGAGGUCCCUAUGAUAGUAAAUAGAGUCGACAUUUGUGUGAUAUAAUUUCACCAUGCAUUCAGCUGUUCUGUGGAGGCAGCAGACAUUGGGUCCCUGGAAACUCUAGAGGAGCUGCAGAGAUCUCCAGCCUAAGUGGAAGAAUCUGCAGAAAUAACAAUGAUUAAACAGGGAAUCUACAAAUCUGGUCUUUGUGAAAGGGUGGUAAGAUAAAAAGCAUUGCUAAACGACUGCAGUAAGAAGUCCUGUUUACAGUUUGCCACAAGUCAUGAAACACAAACUGAACUUUUUGGCUCACAUGCUGAAUGCUAUCUGUGGCAAAAAAAAACAACGAUUGGGAGCCACAGCUCAGUUGUUAGACAGGGCACACCCUAUGUGGAGGCAACUGUCCUCAUCAUAAUUAUCCUGGGUUUGAUUUUCAACCUUGGAACAUUUACUAUAUGUCUUCUCCCUUCUCUUUCUGCCCCCUUUCCCACCAACUAACCGUGAAAGGUUAGUUGUGGCAGAAAAUCUUAAAUAAAUAGCCUAACUUUAACCAUCACUCUAAAAGUGAUUCUAUGAUGUGAUUGUGAUGUUGACUUAAGAGCAGCUAAAUAAAAAUGCAUGCCAUGCUUAAGUUUAAACUUUGGUUAAACAAAGUUUAACUGUUUCACUGUAUCUGCAUUGCCAGAAAUAUGACCACUAUAAAAAGUACAUGUUUUUCCAAAGUAAGCAAUGCACUUGCCUUUGCAUGCAUGGCCACUGGCUCUCUGCGUGGUAUACUGUAGGUAGGACUGCAAAAAUCAUUAAUGGAUCAAAUAGAGUUGUUGAAUAUCAUCAGCAUGGCUCAUGUGAGCAUUUGAUUACAGUAGCAAACACUGUGGUUAGAAAACUGUUGGAAUUCUGGGAGUUUCUUUCUGUUCACCUGUUUUACCUGCCACUAACCCCAUCCAACCUCUAGAUGGCACCAGACGCACGGUAGGAGCUGAGUCCACAGGUCUUCUCCAUCAGCCUCAUCAGGAGAGGAGCUUAAGUACCCAACGUUGCUAACACUCCGGCGCCUGAGUGUUAACCUGCAGUGGUUACCUCCAGUUCCGAGCUUCUUAUCCAGUCUGCGUAUGCAGAAGAUCCAGACUCUCUCUCCGCAAGAGAACUUCACGGAUUAUCUUCUCAGUUGGCUGCAUUCGGGUUUCAAGUCUCCUCAGGCUUCCUCUGAACAAGCCUGGCUCACCCUCCACUGUGCCCCCCUCCAAGAUCAUCCACCUGGUGCCACCUCCACCUCAAGUGGAAGCAAAACAAAAUUACCUGGACCUUUCACUUACCCGACGCGCUCCCGGAGUUUUCCAUCAUCUCACCUCUCCUCCCCCAUGGCGGAUCUCCUAAUCACCCUCUGUACAAAAAUAUUUUAAGAUCAACAACCCAGAAUAUUACCUGUCAUUUACCAUUGAUCCCUUCUCAAUACAGCGGCUAGUUCCUGUUUCCCCAGCCAACAAAAUAUUUCUUAAUAAACUUGUUAAAACCUUUCCUGUUUUCCUGAAUGUAUUUCUGCAUGUGGGUCAAAGCAGCUAGAAAAACGAUGACAAAAACAAGUCCCAACAGCUUUUGAUUAUAAUUCACUGACCUGAAAAAGGCAAACUGCCAUAUUUUAAUCUCAACUUACACUUGUUUGUAUCCAAAGCAAACAAGACAAGUGGAUUUAAGGAUGGGCACAGUAAUUGAGGACCUGUGUGUUUGUGUGUUCAUGUUAUAUAGUGUAAACAGCUAAACUGAACAUGUAGAUAUUUGAAUACACCCCUCAGGAGGAAAGCCAUUGUAUAAGCAGGUGAAAAGAAUGGAAAACUCCAGAAAUGGGAAAGUGGUAUUUCAGAAUGUGUUUUUAUUGUAUGAUCUCACUCCACAGGAAUGUGUUUUCCCACAGAUGUUAGGAGUUUGAACCUCCCUCAGGCCUUCAAACUCGUGUGAUGUCGCAGGACAUGCUUCCUAGCAACAUCCUGACUUUUAUGGCCCGGCCUUCAUCAAUGUCCGCAACAUUCACUUCCCUUGGCCUGAUCUCACUGUGAUGGAGUCAACAAUAGUUCCAUCAGCACCACAGACACAGUGAGGAGCUUCAUUGACAAAGGCUGGAUGAGGAUCCAGAAACAAGCCAGUGGCAAGAAGAAUCAUGGUGAAGCACUUUAACGAGAAAGCAAAGAAAGAAGCCUGCUGAAAACAGGAGAAUGAAAACAGAGAUGCUUGAAUGCUGGGGGGGCUGAUCAGUGAAGUGCAACAGAGGUGGGUCUAACUACUAGAGCAGCUGUGUAAGGACCAUAAAUGGAUGAGCUGAGGAAAAAAUACUUGUAGAGAAAGAACUAAGUAAACACCACAAGAAACUGAACCACAAAUGAGAAAGGACUAAAGAGUAAGAAUGAACACGGAAAGUUGAUAGAAGGAUCCAAAAAUGUGCAUAUGAAAGCAUAAGAAGAAAGACAAGUUGUCAUGAUGUGCUAAUGUAUCAAAUUAUCAUUAUUUUGGGUAAAAUGUAACAUUUAGUAGCCUUUGUCUUCAUGGGUUAUAUUUAGAAUGUUUCAUUAGUAAAUGUUUUGUUUCAGAAAUCUCACUACAAGCCUCUAAAUCCUAGAACUAUGUUGUGUAUAGCCCUUCUUAUUAAUUGGCCUUGAAUCUUUUACAUAAAAUCUGAAAACAUUUAUA